UACGUAGGGUGCAAGCGUUGUCCGGAAUUAUUGGGCGUAAAGAGCUCGUAGGCGGUUUGUUGCGUCGGCUGUGAAAUCCCGAGGCUCAACCUCGGGUCUGCAGUCGAUACGAGCAAACUAGAGUGUUGCAGGGGAGACUGGAAUUCCUGGUGUAGCGGUGAAAUGCGCAGAUAUCAGGAGGAACACCAGUGCGAAGGCAGGCUCUGGGCCGAUACUGACGCUGAGGAGCGAAAGCGUGGGGAGCGAACAGG
rnacentral:rRNA from 1 species